AACGAACGCUGGCGGCAGGCCUAACACAUGCAAGUCGAGCGCGCCCUUCGGGGUGAGCGGCGGACGGGUGAGUAACGCGUGGGAACGUGCCCUUUUCUACGGAAUAGCCUCGGGAAACUGAGAGUAAUACCGUAUACGCCCUUUGGGGGAAAGAUUUAUCGGAAAAGGAUCGGCCCGCGUUGGAUUAGGUAGUUGGUGGGGUAAUGGCCUACCAAGCCGACGAUCCAUAGCUGGUUUGAGAGGAUGAUCAGCCACACUGGGACUGAGACACGGCCCAGACUCCUACGGGAGGCAGCAGUGGGGAAUCAUAGACAAUGGGGGCAACCCUGAUCUAGCCAUGCCGCGUGAGUGAUGAAGGCCUUAGGGUUGUAAAGCUCUUUCAGCUGGGAAGAUAAUGACGGUACCAGCAGAAGAAGCCCCGGCUAACUCCGUG
rnacentral:rRNA from 1 species